rnacentral:lncRNA from 10 species
CUGGCAACCAGUGAGGUUUUCCAAAAUUCCUAUCAAACAACAUCUAACAAGCUCACGAGUCCUGCCUGCGCCUGCUCAUCUCCCUCAUCUGCUGGAAACUGGGGCCAGGACGAGCACCAGCCAAGCAGUGAGCAGAGAUGAGUGUCUUGCUGUGUUGCCCAGGCUGGUAUUGAACUCCUAGACUCAAACGAUCCUCACACCUCGCCCCACCGCCAAAGCGCUGGGAUUUAAAGGCAUGAGCCACCAGGCGCCACUGCUAUCAAGGUACUCGGGAGGCCUGGCC